GACGAACGCUGGCGGCGUGCUUAACACAUGCAAGUCGAACGGAAAGGCCCUGCUUUUGUGGGGUGCUCGAGUGGCGAACGGGUGAGUAACACGUGAGUAACCUGCCCUUGACUUUGGGAUAACUUCAGGAAACUUGGGCUAAUACCGGAUAGGAGCUCCUGCUGCAUGGUGGGGGUUGGAAAGUUUCGGCGGUUGGGGAUGGACUCGCGGCUUAUCAGCUUGUUGGUGGGGUAGUGGCUUACCAAGGCUUUGACGGGUAGCCGGCCUGAGAGGGUGACCGGCCACAUUGGGACUGGGAUACGGCCCAGACUCCUACGGGAGGCAGCAGUGGGGAAUAUUGCGCAAUGGGCGGAAGCCUGAUGCAGCAACGCCGCGUGCGGGAUGACGGCCUUCGGGUUGUAAACCGCUUUCGCCUGUGACGAAGCGUGAGUGACGGUAAUGGGUAAAGAAGCACCGGCUAACUACGUG
rnacentral:rRNA from 1 species